AUAUUACUAAAAAGAAGAAGAAAAAGAAAA
rnacentral:sRNA from 1 species